rnacentral:rRNA from 1 species
GAUUCUGGCUCAGGAUGAACGCUGGCGGCGUGCCUAACACAUGCAAGUCGAGCGAUUACUUCGGUAAAGAGCGGCGGACGGGUGAGUAACGCGUGGGUAACCUGCCUCAUACACAUGGAUAACAUACCGAAAGGUAUGCUAAUACAGGAUAAUAUAAGAGAUUCACAUGGAUUUCUUAUCAAAGCUCCGGCAGUAUGAGAUGGACCCGCGUCUGAUUAGCUAGUUGGUAAGGUAAUGGCUUACCAAGGCGACGAUCAGUAGCCGACCUGAGAGGGUGAUCGGCCACAUUGGAACUGAGACACGGUCCAAACUCCUACGGGAGGCAGCAGUGGGGAAUAUUGCACAAUGGGCGAAAGCCUGAUGCCAGCAACGCCGCGUGAGUGAUGAAGGCCUUCGGGUCGUAAAACUCUGUCCUCAAGGAAGAUAAUGACGGUACUUGAGGAGGAAGCCCCGGCUAACUACGUGCCAGCCGCAGC